rnacentral:misc_RNA from 1 species
GCUUUUUCGUGUUAUCCAAAAUUUUUUGUCAAUCAACAAGGAGUCUCUUUUGCAAUAUAUUAUGCUUUUGCUUGGUUGGUCGCUUGGUUGGAUUUUCAAAUUAGAGGUUUUUAUCCUUUCUGGCUAGGUGGUUGUAAGCAUGGCACUGGAUUUUCUUGCUUUACAAGUGCACUUUUUUACCUUCAAAAGCUAAAUGAUGAUCAUUCUUUAGUCUUGAUGUUUUUAGUAUUAG